rnacentral:rRNA from 1 species
CAGAGGGUGCAACCGUUGUUCGGAUUUACUGGGCGUAAAGCGCGUGUAGGCUGCUUCGCAAGUCGGAUGUGAAAGCCCUGGGCUCAACCCAGGAAGUGCAUUCGAAACUGCAGAGCUGGAGUCCUGGAGAGGAAGGCGGAAUUCUCGGUGUAGAGGUGAAAUUCGUAGAUAUCGAGAGGAACACCGGUGGCGAAGGCGGCCUUCUGGACAGUGACUGACGCUGAGACGCGAAAGCGUGGGGAGCAAACAGG